rnacentral:lncRNA from 1 species
UCCUCUUCAAUAGACUAAUCUAGUCGAUGAUAGAUUUAAUCAACUCCAACAAUUAAUUAUGAUCUAAUAGUAAUCUAUCAUCAGGUUAGAAGCACAAAUAAGACAGUUAGCUGAGUCUACCAUGAGGAGAGAAUCAGAUCAAUUAUUAAGCCAACCUAUCGUAAAUCUCAGGAACAAUCCAUCCACUGUCCACCAACCAUC